UGUCACCGUCGUACGGGUGCGUAACGCGUAUGCAACCUACCUUCAACUGGGGGAUAGCCCGGGGAAACCCGGAUUAAUACCGCAUAAUACAGGGGGCCCACAUGGGUCUAUUUGUUAAAGAUUUAUUGGUUGAAGAUGGGCAUGCGUUCGAUUAGCUAGUUGGUACGGGUAACGGCCUACCAAGGCGACGAUCGAUAGGGGAGCUGAGAGGUUGAUCCCCCACACGGGCACUGAGAUACGGGCCCGACUCCUACGGGAGGCAGCAGUAGGGAAUAUUGGGCAAUGGAUGCAAGUCUGACCCAGCCAUGCCGCGUGCCGGAUGAAGGCCCUCAGGGUUGUAAACGGCUUUUAUUCGGGAAGAAGAGCAGGGAUGCGUCCCUGUGUGACGGUACUGAAUGAAUAAGCACCGGCUAACUCCGUGCCAGCAGCCGCGGUAAUACGGAGGGUGCGAGCGUUGUCCGGAUUUAUUGGGUUUAAAGGGUGCGUAGGUGGCUUUUUAAGUCAGUGGUGAAAUACAGCCGCUCAACGGUUGAGGUGCCAUUGAUACUGAAGAGCUUGAAACAAGUGGAGGCUGCCGGAAUGGAUGGUGUAGCGGUGAAAUGCAUAGAUAUCAUCCAGAACACCGAUUGCGAAGGCAGGUGGCUACGUUUGAUUUGACACUGAGGCACG
rnacentral:rRNA from 1 species